rnacentral:rRNA from 1 species
AGAGUUUGAUCAUGGCUCAGAUUGAACGCUGGCGGAAUGCUUUACACAUGCAAGUCGAACGGCAGCACGGGGGCAACCUGGUGGCGAGUGGCGAACGGGUGAGUAAUACAUCGGAACGUGCCCAAUCGUGGGGGAUAACGUAGCGAAAGUUACGCUAAUACCGCAUACGAUCUACGGAUGAAAGCGGGGGAUCGCGAGACCUCGCGCGAAUGGAGCGGCCGAUGUCAGAUUAGGUAGUUGGUGGGGUAAAGGCUCACCAAGCCGACGAUCUGUAGCUGGUCUGAGAGGACGACCAGCCACACUGGGACUGAGACACGGCCCAGACUCCUACGGGAGGCAGCAGUGGGGAAUUUUGGACAAUGGGCGCAAGCCUGAUCCAGCCAUUCCGCGUGCAGGAUGAAGGCCUUCGGGUUGUAAACUGCUUUUGUACGGAACGAAACGGUUCUCUCUAAUACAGGGGGCUAAUGACGGUACCGUAAGAAUAAGCACCGGCUAACUACGUG